CAUGUCACAGCCUGGACCUUCCUCUGGCUCUUGUGUUACCAUUUUGGAGCUAGCAAGCUUGAACAACACCAUUUUCAGGGUGUAGGCACAUCAGAUGUAUUUAUAUCAGAAUGCAGCAGUGUUUUUAGCUUUGUUUCUUCCAUACUAAAUUUAAAAUUUGAUUUACUUUUUUGAACACUGCCGAGAAUGGAUCUGGCAUUUUCAUAAAUAUGUCUAGAUUUCACAGCUCUUCAAGGAUUUCUUCUCCAAGAGUUAACAGUGAGUCCAGCACCUUCAGCUCUGUAUGUAAAGUCUGCUUUGCCCACUGGCAUUACGGUACACAUAUCUAUGUUGCCUUUUCUCUGUUUUAUCACCCGAUUACUCAGUAUCAUGAGAUGAUGUUUUUGUCAUGUGCCAUGUUUUUGCUACCAUAAAUAACGUCGUGUCACCCACAAGUUUGCCACCUUGCUGUUCAACCCCUUCCUCGUGUAUGAGUCUGGCAGAUGGGUUUGAUACUUACUUAAGAUCCUGGUGAUAUUAGAGGGCUGCUGGAGGAGGAAGUAGUGGGCAACUAUUCCUCCUCUUUCCAUCAGCACAGCUUGCAUCUCACCUAGAUUCGGAUUGAGCCAGCUGCUCCUCAGGGAGGUGCUGGCAGGCUCUUUUUGACCCUGCAGCACAUUUGGAGGGAUGCUGGUGCAGGCUGUCCGUGGUGCGCAGGGCCAGCUGCUCAGCUGACGCAACCGAUUUAACGGCUGGAGACGAGGAGCUGGCCAUCACGGGCAUGGGGACAGCUGACAUGGAGGUGGGGUGGCCGCAGCUGGACACAGUGAUGGGGUGAGACAGGUGGGGUGGCCUGAACAGAGUCUACGGGGCAGUGCUGGGUUGAGGGUGAACCUGCAGAAGCAGUGCCCAUUCUUUGCCCACCUUGUGGUGGUGUCAUCGUCGCUCCCUCCACAAGCUGACAGACUAAUAGGGACAAACAGGAAGAGGACCUAGCAGAAUGCAGAAAAUAAUCGUCCUGUGCCAAAAGGGAAUGUAUGAUCAAAACUACAAUGGGCAGGCAAGCAGCGAGGCAGUGACCCGAGGCAGCGCAAUGUGUCAGGAAGAGAGAGCAGCAGCCCAGGGACAGCAACAGCCCAGAGCCUCAAUUUGUAAUGACUGUGUGGACCACAUGCCAAAAAGUCUCUCCCCACCUCCUUGCUCCAGAGAGCUCUCCUAAUGCUCUUAGCCACUUGGACAUCACAAGAGAAAGAGCCUGCACGUUUCCAGCACACAACCAAAGGCAUUUGCUUAAGCAGAGCACUGCCGUGCUUCGGCACUGCCGAACCUGCCUCUGACUCGGAGUGCUCCGAACACCUGUGAGUCAUACGAUGGGAAAUUCUCCCUGUCUUCACAAGCACAGAUGAGUUUGAACCUUCUGGGCAUUCUAGCAGUUUACCAUCUGCACAUAUAACCUUUUUUCUGAGCACACUGAAGUCUUGUAGGAGGAUGUUAAAUCCAGGAACCAAAAUAAGGAAACAUGUUUACACCUGCUACAUCUGUUCGAGAAUUUUCAGCCUCUAUUACACUUUUGACUUUCACAUUCCCCCUCCUCCUCCUUCCUGUUUGGUCAAAUGCCACCAUGUUAAAAACAAUUCUGUAUUUUUCCCCCCAAGUCUCACAGACUUUCUAUCAAAUCUUGUGAAAACUUACAGCAUAUGAAAGAAGCUGUGAAAUGGUCUAGCAACAGAAGCAAAUGCUGGCUGCAGUCUCUCUUCCUUAUCCAGGAUUUUGAGAUACUGGGAUUCACUGUGAACAAAAAUGACAUUAACUACAUGAAA